rnacentral:rRNA from 1 species
CCUACGGGAGGCAGCAGUGGGGAAUUUUGGACAAUGGGCGCAAGCCUGAUCCAGCCAUGCAGCGUGCGGGAAGAAGGCCUUCGGGUUAUAAACCGCUUUUGGCAGGAACGAAACGGCGCUCGCUAAUACCGGGCGCUAAUGACGGUACCUGCAGAAUAAGCACCGGCUAACUACGUGCCAGCAGCCGCGGUAAUACGUAGGGUGCAAGCGUUAAUCGGAAUUACUGGGCGUAAAGCGUACGCAGGCGGCCAGGUAAGAGAGGUGUAAAAUCCCCGGGCUUAACCGGGGAACUGCAUUUGUGACUGGAUGGCUAGAGUUUGUCGGAGGGGGGUGGAAUUCCACGUGUAGCAGUAAAAUGCGUAGAGAUGGGGAGGAACACCGAUGGCGAAGGCGGCCCCCGGGGA